rnacentral:rRNA from 1 species
AGUGAACGCUGGCGGUAGGCCUAACACAUGCAAGUCGAACGGCAGCACAGUAAGAGCUUGCUCUUACGGGUGGCGAGUGGCGGACGGGUGAGGAAUACAUCGGAAUCUACUUUUUCGUGGGGGAUAACGUAGGGAAACUUACGCUAAUACCGCAUACGACCUCCGGGUGAAAGCAGGGGAUCUUCGGACCUUGCGCGAUUGUAUGAGCCGAUGUCGGAUUAGCUAGUUGGCGGGGUAAAGGCCCACGAAGGCGACGAUCCGUAGCUGGUCUGAGAGGAUGAUCAGCCACACCGGAACUGAGACACGGUCCAGACUCCUACGGGAGGCAGCAGUGGGGAAUAUUGGACAAUGGGCGCAAGCCUGAUCCAGCCAUACCGCGUGGGUGAAGAGGGCCUUCGGGUUGUAAAGCCCUUUUGUUGGGAAAGAAAAGCAGCAGGUUAAUACCCCGCUGUUCUGACGGUACCCAAAGAAUAAGCACCGGCUAACUUCGUG